AUUGAACGCUGGCGGCAGGCUUAACACAUGCAAGUCGAGCGGAGAUGAGGUGCUUGCACCUUAUCUUAGCGGCGGACGGGUGAGUAAUGCUUAGGAAUCUGCCAUUUAGUGGGGGACAACAUUCCGAAAGGAAUGCUAAUACCGCAUACGUCCUACGGGAGAAAGCAGGGGAUCUUCGGACCUUGCGCUAAAUGAUGAGCCUAAGUCGGAUUAGCUAGUUGGUGGGGUAAAGGCCUACCGAGGCGACGAUCUGUAGCGGGUCUGAGAGGAUGAUCCGCCAAACUGGGACUGAGACACGGCCCAGACUCCUACGGGAGGCAGCAGUGGGGAAUAUUGGACAAUGGGCGGAAGCCUGAUCCAGCCAUGCCGCGUGUGUGAAGAAGGCCUUUUGGUUGUAAAGCACUUUAAGCGAGGAGGAGGCUACUGAGACUAAUACUCUUGGAUAGUGGACGUUACUCGCAGAAUAAGCACCGGCUAACUCUGUGCCAGCAGCCGCCGUAACAC
rnacentral:rRNA from 1 species